rnacentral:rRNA from 1 species
UACAGAGGUGGCAAGCGUUGUUCGGAAUUACUGGGCGUAAAGGGCGCGUAGGCGGUCUUCUAAGUCUUGUGUGAAAUCCCUCGGCUUAACUGAGGAACUGCACGGGAUACUGGAUGACUUGAGUUCGGGAGAGGGAAGCGGAAUUCCGGGUGUAGCGGUGAAAUGCGUAGAUAUCGGGAGGAACACCAGUGGCGAAGGCGGCGACCUGGGCCAAUAUUGACGCUGAGGUGCGAAAGCGUGGGGAGCAAACAGG